UAGGGGGUGGGUGCUAUACAUGCAGUAGGACGCACAGUUUAUACCGUAGCUUGCUACACCAUAGACUGUGAGUUGCGAACGGGUGAGUAACGCGUAGGUAACCUACCUAUUAGAGGGGGAUAACUAUUGGAAACGAUAGCUAAUACCGCAUAACAGUAUGUAACACAUGUUAGAUGCUUGAAAGAUGCAAUUGCAUCGCUAGUAGAUGGACCUGCGUUGUAUUAGCUAGUAGGUAGGGUAAUGGCCUACCUAGGCAACGAUACAUAGCCGACCUGAGAGGGUGAUCGGCCACACUGGGACUGAGACACGGCCCAGACUCCUACGGGAGGCAGCAGUAGGGAAUCUUCGGCAAUGGGGGGAACCCUGACCGAGCAACGCCGCGUGAGUGAAGAAGGUUUUCGGAUCGUAAAGCUCUGUUGUUAAGGAAGAACGAGUGUGAGAAUGGAAAGUUCAUGCUGUGACGGUACUUAACCAGAAAGGGACGGCUAACUACGUGCCAGCAGCCGCGGUAAUACGUAGGUCCCGAGCGUUGUCCGGAUUUAUUGGGCGUAAAGCGAGCGCAGGCGGUUAGAAAAGUCUGAAGUGAAAGGCAGUGGCUCAACCAUUGUAGGCUUUGGAAACUGUUUAACUUGAGUGCAGAAGGGGAGAGUGGAAUUCCAUGUGUAGCGGUGAAAUGCGUAGAUAUAUGGAGGAACACCGGUGGCGAAAGCGGCUCUCUGGUCUGUAACUGACGCUGAGGCUCGAAAGCGUGGGGAGCGAACAGGAUUAGAUACCCUGGUAGUCCACGCCGUAAACGAUGAGUGCUAGGUGUUAGGUCCUUUCCGGGACUUAGUGCCGCAGCUAACGCAUUAAGCACUCCGCCUGGGGAGUACGACCGCAAGGUUGAAACUCAAAGGAAUUGACGGGGGCCCGCACAAGCGGUGGAGCAUGUGGUUUAAUUCGAAGCAACGCGAAGAACCUUACCAGGUCUUGACAUCCCAGUGACUGCCCUAGAGAUAGGGUUUCCCUUCGGGGCACUGGUGACAGGUGUGCAUGCUGUCGUCAGCUCGUGUCGUGAGAUGUUGGGUUAGUCCCGCACGAGCGCACCCUUAUUGUUAGUUGCAUCAUUGAGUUGGCACUUCUAGCGAGACUGCCGGUAUAACCGGAGGAAGGUGGGGAUGAACGUCGAUCAUCAUGCGCUUAUGACCUUGGCUUACACUGCUCAAUGCUGGUUCAACAAGUGUCAAGCCGGUGACGGCAACCAAAAUACUCUGA
rnacentral:rRNA from 1 species